GACGAACCGUGCGAGCGUUAAUCGGAAUUACUGGGCGUAAAGGGCGCGUAGGUGGUUUAUUAAGAUUGAUGUGAAAUCCCUGGGCUUAACCUAGGAACUGCAUCGAUGACUGAGAAACUAGAGUACUGUAGAGGGUAGUGGAAUUUCCGGUGUAGUGGUGAAAUGCGUAGAGAUCGGAAGGAACACCAGUGGCGAAGGCGGCUACCUGGACAGAUACUGACACUGAGGCGCGAGAGCGUGGGGAGCAAACAGG
rnacentral:rRNA from 1 species